GAAGAAGCUUUAGAGCUAUCCUGCGAAGAAGAACAAGAACGGAGAACAAAGAGUAAAAACAAUUUGAAAUUUCAAGAAGGAAAGAACAAAGAAACAAGUAGAAGUGGAGAAAAGUUCUGGAGAAUGAAGGGGAUAUCUACUGACAACAAGAUUUUUAGAGAAGAAAUAAACUUUGGUCAUUGAUUACUGUAGAACGGAUUCGCAUACCCAAAGAAAUAGAGAUUCACACGAGUUGAGCACUUGGAUCGAUAAGAAGUCAUCGGGAUUGCUCGAGGUGACACGUUUGGUAUUUCGACACGAGUACUAGGCAGCAGUAGACGCAAGCGAGGAUUUCGUUAUUUAGAGUACAUGAGUUGAAAGUUUCUGGUGAGCCCCGCAUUUGUUCGCGUGGGCAAAGAUUGUUAUUUAUUUGUUAUAGUCUCUUUCUCGAAACUCUUAGAGUCACUCUAUAGUCGUUUUUAUUAGUGUCAUGAGUAUUCAUUCAUUAUAUUGGAUUAUUUACUAGCAUUAUACUUUCUUUCCGUAUUUGUUUUAGAUGGGUUUAGUGUUAUAAUGUUGGUAAGGUUGGUAAUGUUCGUGAAAACUCAUUUUUUUGUUAGUUGAUGAAGAUUAUGACA